CUUCGAUGUGGUUGAAUAUGUUGCAGAUUAAAGGAGAUGAUGGUUGUUGAUUGAACGUGAUGGUUGUUGUAUGAUUUCAUUCUAAGGUGAUCUUUGUUAUCCUGUAUUUUGUUUAUUGAUCAUUCUAUGUUUUUUGUUUUACAGGUUACUGAUUUGCACGAAGUUGAAAAACAAAUCAUGUAGUUUAUGGCUUAUGGAUCCAAUCGAUUCCCUCGCAUCUUCUCUUUAGCUUUGUUUUGUUGCAGGCCUGCAGGGUGUUUUUUUAUGGACCUGGUGUGCAUGGUUUUUGUUCGGUGCAAGGUUGGUAUAGUUUCAGGUGCAUUUUGUGAACCAAAUCGUAUUUGGUUUGUGUAUUGCAGCAGGUUCGUUGGUAUGAAACAAAGUGAAAAUGGCAUGGAUUUUUUAAUCAAGUUUGGAACUGUCUUGGAAAAGAAGAAUCAAGGCUCAUGGACAUGUUUCUUUUUUAGAGUACAAGAGCAAAGCAUGGCACAUGAUGUCCAUGGUAAACUGAAUGCUGCAGAUUUUCCCACGUGAUGCAGGGUGAAAAACCUUCUCUGUUGAUUCUGAAAUAAAUUGUUGUAGUCUUUGUGUGAAAAAGAUCUGAUAUUUCUGUAUCAUUGGACAUUGAAGAUUGAUCUCUAGAUUAAGAAAUUUUUUAUUUGAUUUAUGUUAA